GCUUCAGUGGCCUAGCGGUUAGAGCGUCCGUCUCAGAAGAGGGAGAUCGCGGGUUCGGACACCGUCCGAGUCA